CCUACGGGGGGCUGCAGUGGGGAAUAUUGGACAAUGGGGGGAACCCUGAUCCAGCCAUGCCGCGUGUGUGAAGAAGGACCUCGGGUUGUAAAGCACUUUCAGUGAGGAAGAACGCCUGGUGGUUAAUACCCAUCAGGAAAGACAUCACUCACAGAAGAAGCACCGGCUAACUCCGUGCCAGCAGCCGCGGUAAUACGGAGGGUGCGAGCGUUAAUCGGAAUUACUGGGCGUAAAGCGCGCGUAGGUGGCUUGAUAAGCCGGUUGUGAAAGCCCCGGGCUCAACCUGGGAACGGCAUCCGGAACUGUCAAGCUAGAGUGCAGGAGAGGAAGGUAGAAUUCCCGGUGUAGCGGUGAAAUGCGUAGAGAUCGGGAGGAAUACCAGUGGCGAAGGCGGCCUUCUGGACUGACACUGACACUGAGGUGCGAAAGCGUGGGUAGCAAACAGGAUUAGAUACCACUGUAGUC
rnacentral:rRNA from 1 species